UACGUAGGCAGCGAGCGUUGUUCGGAGUUACUGGGCGUAAAGGGUGUGUAGGCGGUUCUUUAAGUUUGGUGUGAAAUCUCCCGGCUCAACUGGGAGGGUGCGCCGAAUACUGAGGGACUAGAGUACGGGAGAGGAAAGUGGAAUUCCUGGUGUAGCGGUGAAAUGCGUAGAUAUCAGGAGGAACACCCGUAGCGAAGGCGGCACUCUGGGCCGGUACUGACGCUGAGGAGCGAAAGCGUGGGGGGCAAACAGG
rnacentral:rRNA from 1 species